rnacentral:rRNA from 1 species
GACGAACGUUGGCGGCGUGCCUAACACAUGCAAGUCGAGGGGUAGCAAUACCACUGGCGCACGGGGUGAGUAACGCGUAGAUCAUCUGCCCCUAUCACAGACAUAACGUCGGGGAAACUGACGCUAAUAUCUGAUGAGGCAAUUUAUUGUCAAAGGAGCGAUCCGGAUAGGGAUGAGUCUGCGUCUGAUUAGCUUGUUGGUAGUGUAACGGGCUACCAAGGCGAUGAUCAGUAACUGGUCUGAGAGGACGAUCAGUCACACUGGAACUGAGACACGGUCCAGACUCUACGGGAGCAGCAGUGAGGAUAUUGGUCAAUGGGGGCAACCCUGAACCAGCGACGCCGCGGUGAAGGAUGACAGGGCUUUGCCCGU